GGGGUUCCAGGGUUAUGAAAGGGGGGGUGCAGGGACUGGAAGAGGUGGGGUGGGGUGUCCAGCAGGUCCCUGUGCCCAGGAAAGGGGGUCCAGGGGACCCCAGUGUCAAGGAAAGGGGUCACGAGGUGGGGAUGGCUGGAAUGGGGGGCUUGGGGGUCCUUGAUGCAGAGGAAAGGGGGGGUGAGAGCUGAGAAAAGCAGGAAUGGGGGUCUGGGGGGUCUCAGGGUGAAGGAAAAGGGGGGGGUCUGGGGACUGGGAAAGGCAGGAUGGAUGGGAAAGGGGGUGCAGGGGGAGACUGGUACAGGAUAAGGGAGUGCAGGGGAGGUCCCAGUGCCUGAGACUGGAAAUUCAGGGCUCAGAAUCCUCCCUGGGACCCUCCACUAUUGGUGUCUAAAAAUGCUCGCUCGCGGUGAGAGGCUUCUCCUGGGUCAAGCUGUUCAGGUAUAAGCAAUUUAUUGUGAGGGUAAAGAGAGGGAGAGAUCCGUGUCCACCACCAGCCUCGGCGUGCCCGUGGUCCCGGGGGAGGGGAGAGAGCACGGAGUGAGAGGGAGAAAAGAGGUUAGAGAUCAGGGAAAACUAGAGAGGGGCAGGAGCAGGGAGAGGGGUAAGAAGUAAGAGAGGGGUAGGAGUUAAGAGGUGGGGAAAGGGGUAAGGGCUAAGAGGGGCGUAAGGGCUAAGAGCUCAGAGGUGAGAGCUAAGAGUGAAGAGUUAAGAGAGGAGAGAGAAGAGCUGAGAAGGGAGUAAGAGUUAAGAGCGAGAGGUUCUUGUUACAAUAAAAUAUAUGCAUUCCUAUAGUCAAUAUUCUAAUUCUCAGUAACCAAUCACUACAAGAUACUAAAGAAUUUACAUACAGCCUCUGAGCAUCCUCAUAUUAACAUACAGUGUUGCAUUUUAAACUCUACAAAGCUUUACAAGUUUUUCCUUGACCUUUGGACUUUCUAUCAGCAGAAGGACAUUGUUUUAUCAGCAGGGAUUCUCCUUUAGCUCGCUAGGCUAUUGCUCUUUGGUUAUACAUUAACUCGUACUCAGCUUCAUGACUCAAAGCAGGCUUUCAUUUCUACUUCGAUCUAACUUUCAUAUUUUCAGAAUCUUCUGCUAAACAAUCACAUUCAUAAGGUUUCCCUGUUUCACCCUCCCCAACACUCCACGACCCCCCAGGGACCGUCCCGGACCCCCUGGGAGCCCCAUAUAGGACGAGCGGGGGGUGAAGAACUGGGGUGACACAGAGAUUUGGGGGUCAGGAAGUGGAACCGGGAGAGCC